UACGUAGGGUGCGAGCGUUGUCCGGAAUUAUUGGGCGUAAAGAGCUCGUAGGCGGUCUGUCGCGUCGGAUGUGAAAACUCGGGGCUCAACCCCGAGCCUGCAUUCGAUACGGGCAGACUAGAGUUCGGUAGGGGAGACUGGAAUUCCUGGUGUAGCGGUGAAAUGCGCAGAUAUCAGGAGGAACACCCGUGGCUAAGGCGGUUCUCUAGUACGGUACUGACGCUGAGACGCGAAAGCGUGGGGAGCGAACAGG
rnacentral:rRNA from 1 species